CUCCCCUCAGAGACUUGUCCCCUCCGUUUUUCUGAAACAGGCAGUGCUCUUUUGAAACGGUGCCAAUGGAGGCUGGCCCAAGCCCUUGCAGCUGAAACUUUUACAAGCUCAGUGUUCGCAAGCAGGAAGAGAAAGACAGAGUUGAGAUUUGUAAAGGGAAUUUGCAGCUUCUCUCCUCUUCUUCGACCUGCCUGAGAUUUCAGCACACUGAUCCAUGUUUGCUUUUUUUGUUCAUUUAAACUACAAAUUCUUCAAGAGUGUGCACAGAAACGACGUGGAAAUACUGCAUGAAGAGAGACGAAGGAUUUAAAGUGUAUUUAGGGAAAUAAUUGCUUAAAAAAUGAAGAGUAUGUGACGUCACAUAGAGAGCUGUCUUGGAUAUUGCCUGAGGAAAGAUACUGGUGAGUGUCUGUGGCACUCUGGCGUCAGACACAUUUGAAAAUUAAAACACUGUGCACAAUUCAGGACUGGCACAUCGGAUUGUUGUACUGUUUUUCAUUUAUUGGUGAUGGUCCACGGGAAACAUUAUCUUUGGAUUUGUUUGUUCCCAGAUACUGACCCUUCCCUUGCCCUUAUUUUCGCUUCAGAGCUGCAUGACACAUUUUGUUACUUGAGGAUGUGUUGCGGUAAACAUCCCAGACCACUCCUUUGGUAUGUUAUGUUGACAGUAAACACUGGUUUCCAUCCACUGGUACAGUCAAAUUAAAUCAGUACCUCCGUGGUUGCCUUUCUUUUCUAUAAACUCUGCAACAAAUCUGAAUAAAAACACAGGCAGGUGCAGAACAACUAAAGACGUCCGGAGUGACUACCGAAAAUGGGAACUGUGAGGCAUGUACAACCUGGGAAUCAUGCCAAAUGCUGACAAAAGGCUUUACUGCACGGUUCUGAGCGAAGCCUUUAACUCAUUUGCUCUGAAAUGCUUCAGGAAUAUCUGGCAGCGAACUGUUUGGCCAACUGUAGAUAAAUCUGUCAAACCUUUUGGCUUUGUUACAAGGCAGCAUGGCCUAAUUCUCUGCGGGUGAACACUAGCCUGACCUGUACAAAAAAAAAACUCUCCACCAGUUCGACUGACAAGUUUUCACUUCUACCUGCAAAAGUAUCUGUCCUUAAGGCUGAGGUAGUAGAUUGAAUAGUUGUGGGGUUUGGGUCCUCCCUCUGAGAUAACUAUACAGUCUACUGUCUUUCCUAAGGAGACAGGUUGAUCUUCUGUGAUGCCGGAGCAAGUAUGCACAUGAGAAGCCCCAUGGAGGAAGGAACUCAAGGACUAAGUGCAGUAGAUUUAAGAGAUCCCUCAGCUUUGAGGGUGAGAUUGCUGACACAGCAGAGACUUUAGCAGACACACUGGUGGAACUGCUUUAUUCUUACAACAUGUAUUAAAGUUGGUACAUAUCAAGUAAAGUCUUGUUUUUAAGGAUAUGCAUUGGUGCCUGAAGUUGAGCCUAGCAAGGUGAGGUAGUAGGUUGUAUAGUUUGUGGGAUGGAGUAAAUCCUACUCAGGUGAUAACUAUACAGUCUAUUACCUUCCUUGAGAGGUACAAUGAGUGCUUGGAACUCACACUGAAUGAGUGGUAAAGGAGCCACGCUGAUGCCAUCUUGUGGUCAAAGACUAUCAUGACUCUGGAAAUUAUUUUAGCAUUGGGACCUCUAAUGUGUGUAUCUGGGUAUUUGUUCACAAAAUAUCCUAAAGCUCAAAGUAGCUCCUAACUGGCAGAGUUAGAAGAAACUUCUAAAAUGAAGGGGUGCCGGAGUCCUAACUUUAGUUUUUAGUUUUUGGUCUUUGAGUAAUUCACAAAGCAUUUUAACAAUAAAAGUAGGCUCUGCGUCUGACCCACUUUCACUCAGUAAUGUGCUGCAGGUAAUGUGUCUCAUUAUAACAUCAGUGUUCUUUAAAAGAAUAAUAAUAAUGAAUAUAACAUAACAUAACUAAAGGUAACUUCAUGGCCAUAAGUCACAAGCAUUCAAUAUUAUUUAAAUAAAUGUAACAACAUGUAUCACGCUAUAAACACAGUAUGUAAAAAGUUAAGUUGUUUUUAACGUAUAGACUUCAUGGUGGGCUUGCAGAAGUUUAUUUCAAAGACUACACUUUGGAAAUGCAUGGUUGUUUUUUUACCCAGCUAAAUGUGUCAUGUCACAUUUAGCUGCAUGGAGAGUUGCUUGAAAGUGGUGGUUUGUAAAUAUGCAUUAACUGUCUAUGGUAGGCAGGAAGUAAAUACUCAGGAAAAGACUGUAUUCAUAAAUGUUAAACAAAAGUUUUAUUUGAUUAUGUCAUUACAUUACUGUAUGUACAGAAAGAAAUACAGAUGCAUUGAUUAUAUAGAUAUAUUCUGAAACUGAGGAAAUGAAAGGGCUUGUACAUCACACAACUAACCACAAACCUUUACACAGUGCCUCAGUUAUAACCUGAAUUUCUAAAAUAAAAACUAAUUCAUCUUUAAAUCAAACUGGUGUACUAACAACUGUUUGUUAAAAUGCAACAUGGUGUCUCAAGAAAUACAUAUUUUACUCUGAGAAGCUGA